rnacentral:rRNA from 1 species
UACGUAGGUGGCAAGCGUUGUUCGGAAUUACUGGGCGUAAAGGGCCAGUAGGCGGCCAACUAAGUCGGAUGUGAAAUCCCCAGGCUUAACCUGGGAACUGCAUCCGAUACUGGAUGGCUUGAAUUCGGGAGAGGGAUGCAGAAUUCCUGGUGUAGCGGUGAAAUGCGCAGAUAUCAGGAGGAACACCAAUGGCGAAGGCAGCUCGCUGGAACGGUACUGACGCUGAGGCGCGAAAGCGUGGGGAGCGAACAGG